AUUGAACGCUGGCGGCAGGCCUAACACAUGCAAGUCGAGCGAGCGGCGGACGGGUGAGUAAUGUAUGGGGACUGCCCGUUAGAGGUGGAUAAAUACUGGAAACGGUAGCUAAUACCGCAUACUAUCGGAUAACCCAUAUGGGAUUAGCUAGUAGGUGAGGUAAUGGCUCACCUAGCCGCCGAUCCCUAGCUGGUCUGAGCGGAUGAUCAGCCACACUGGGACUGAGACACGGCCAAGACUCCUACGGAGGCAGCAGGGGGGAAGAUUGCAAAAUGGGCGCAAGCGUGAUGCAGCCAUGCCGCGUGGAUGAAGAAGGCCCUAGGGUUGUAGAGUACUUUCAGUCGGGAGGCGUUACCGACAGAAGAAGCACCGGCUAACUCCGUGCCAGCAGCCGCGGUAAUAC
rnacentral:rRNA from 1 species